AGACAGCAGUCGCCACGGGAACACGGAGGGUGCAAGCGUUAAUCGGAAUUACUGGGCGUAAAGCGCACGCAGGCGGUCUGACAAGUCAGAUGUGAAAUCCCCGGGCUUAACCUGGGAACUGCAUUUGAAACUGUCAGGCUGGAGUCUUGUAGAGGGGGGUGGAAUUCCAGGUGUAGCGGUGAAAUGCGUAGAGAUCUGGAGGAAUACCGGUGGCGAAGGCGGCCCCCUGGACAAAGACUGUCGCUCAGGUGCGAAAGCGUGGGGAGCAAACAGGAUUAGAUACCCCAGUAGUCCCUGUCUCUUAUAC
rnacentral:rRNA from 1 species